rnacentral:rRNA from 1 species
UACGUAGGGGGCAAGCGUUGUCCGGAUUUAUUGGGCGUAAAGAGCUCGUAGGCGGUUCCGUAAGUCAGGUGUGAAAAAUCUGGGCUCAACCCAGUGGAGCACCUGAUACUGCGGUGACUCGAGUCCGGUAGGGGAGUGUGGAAUUCCUGGUGUAGCGGUGAAAUGCGCAGAUAUCGGGAGGAACACCAAUGGCGAAGGCAGCUCGCUGGGACGUGACUGACGCUGAGACGCGAAAGCGUGGGGAGCAAACAGG